CGGGUUUGCUGUAGGGGGACAAAAUAAAUGUAUGCACGAUGACGCACGCUCGCAGCCGGUUUGGGUUCUGUGUUAGGGUUUUAGGUAACAUUAUGGUAACAUUAGGGUUUUAGGUAACAUUAGGGUUAUAGGUAACAUUAUGGUAACAUUAGGGUUAUAGGUAACAUUAUGGUAACAUUAUGGUAACAUUAGAGUUAUAGGUAACAUUAUAGUAACAGGUUACAUUAGGGUUAUAGAUGACAUUGGGGUAACAUUAGGGUUAUAAGUGAGUGAGUGAGAGUGAGUGAGUGAGUGAGUGAGUGAGUGAGAGAGAGAGAGAGAGAGAGAGAG